AAUGAACACUGGUAGUAUGCUUAACACAUGCAAGUUGAACGAAUUAUCUAAAGUAGAUAGUUAGUAGCGAACGGGUGAGUAAUAAAUGAAAACAAUUAUUUUGAUUUGAAAUUAAAAUUUUCAGAUAAACAAUAAUAUUGUAAAGAUUAUAUCGUCAAAAUAAUGGUUCAUUUCGGAUUAGGUAGUUGGUAGUGGUAAUGGCCUACCAAGCCGAAGAUCCGUAGCUGGUUUGAAAGAACGAUCAGCCACAUUGGAACUGAAACACGGUCCAAACUCGAAAGAGGCAGCAGUGAGGAAUUUUGGACAAUGAGCGAAAGCUUGAUCCAGCAAUACUACGUGAGUGAAUUGAAGCAUUUUGGCGUGUAAAACUCUUUAAUUAAGGAAGAUAAUGACGGUACUUAAUCAAAAAGUCCCGGCUAAUUUCUGUGCCAGCAGCCGCGGUAAGGUGCGCGAGU
rnacentral:rRNA from 1 species